rnacentral:sRNA from 1 species
CGAGCGCAAAGCCAAGAAACUCAUUCGGGAGGCAGGGAACAGCUUUGUCAGGCACAAUGCCCGCCAGCUGACCCGCGUGUACCCGCUGGGGCUGCGGAUGAACUCAGCCAACUACAGUCCCCAGGAGAUGUGGAACUCGGGCUGUCAGCUGGACGCCAGGCUACGAGAUGGACCUCAAUGCCGGGCGCUUCCUAGUCAAUGGGCAGUGUGGCUACGUCCUAAAACCUGCCUGCCUGCGGCAACCUGACUCGACCUUUGACCCUGAGUACCCGGGACCUCCCAGAACCACUCUCAGCAUCCAGGUGCUGACUGCACAGCAGCUACCCAAGCUGAAUGCCGAGAAGCCACACUCCAUUGUGGACCCCCUGGUGCGCGUUGAGAUCCAUGGGGUGCCCGCAGACUGUGCCCGGCAGGAGACUGACUACGUGCUCAACAAUGGCUUCAACCCCCGCUGGGGGCAGACCCUGCAGUUCCAGCUGCGGGCUCCGGAGCUGGCACUGGUCCGGUUUGUGGUAGAAGAUUAUGACGCCACCUCCCCCAAUGACUUUGUGGGCCAGUUUACACUGCCUCUUAGCAGCCUAAAGCAAGGGUACCGCCACAUACACCUGCUUUCCAAGGACGGGGCCUCACUGUCACCAGCCACGCUCUUCAUCCAAAUCCGCAUCCAGUGCUCCUGAGGGCCCAGCUCACUCGCCUUGGGGUUCUGCGAGUGCCAGUCCACAUCCCCUGCAGAGCCCUCUCCUCCUCUGGAGUCAGGUGGUGGGAGUACCAGCCCCCCAGCCCACCCACUUGGCCCACUCAGCCCAUUCACCAGGCGCUGGUCUCACCUGGGUGCUGAGGGCUGCCUGGGCCCCUCCUGAAGAACAGAAA